rnacentral:rRNA from 1 species
UGAGUAACACGUAUCCAACCUGCCGUCUACUCUUGGACAGCCUUCUGAAAGGAAGAUUAAUACAAGAUGGCAUCAUGAGUCCGCAUGUUCACAUGAUUAAAGGUAUUCCGGUAGACGAUGGGGAUGCGUUCCAUUAGAUAGUGGCGGGGUAACGGCCCACCUGUCUUCGAUGGAUAGGGGUUCUGAGAGGAAGGUCCCCCACAUUGGAACUGAGACACGGUCCAA